rnacentral:rRNA from 1 species
GACGAACGCUGGCGGCGUGCUUAACACAUGCAAGUCGAGCGGUAAGGCCCUUUCGGGGGUACGACGAGCGGCGAACGGGUGAGUAACACGUGGGUGACCUGCCCUCAGCUCUGGGAUAAGCCUGGGAAACUGGGUCUAAUACUGGAUAUGACUCCACGGUGCAUGUCGUGGGGUGGAAAGCCUUGUGCGGCUGAGGAUGGGCCCGCGGCCUAUCAGCUUGUUGGUGGGGUGANGGCCUACCAAGGCGACGACGGGUAGCCGGCCUGAGAGGGCGACCGGCCACACUGGGACUGAGACACGGCCCAGACUCCUACGGGAGGCAGCAGUGGGGAAUCUUGCGCAAUGGGCGAAAGCCUGACGCAGCGACGCCGCGUGA